rnacentral:rRNA from 1 species
GUGAACGCUGGCGGUAGGCCUAACCCAUGCCCGUCGAACGGCAGCACAGUAAGAGCUUGCUCUUACGGGUGGCGAGUGGCGGACGGGUGAGGAAUACAUCGGAAUCUACUUUUUCGUGGGGGAUAACGUAGGGAAACUUACGCUAAUACCGCAUACGACCUACGGGUGAAAGCAGGGGAUCUUCGGACCUUGCGCGAUUGAAUGAGCCGAUGUCGGAUUAGCUAGUUGGCGGGGUAAAGGCCCACCAAGGCGACGAUCCGUAGCUGGUCUGAGAGGAUGAUCAGCCACACUGGAACUGAGACACGGUCCAGACUCCUACGGGAGGCAGCAGUGGGGAAUAUUGGACAAUGGGCGCAAGCCUGAUCCAGCCAUGCCGCGUGGGUGAAGAAGGCCUUCGGGUUGUAAAGCCCUUUUGUUGGGAAAGAAAAGCAGCAGGUUAAUACCCCGCUGUUCUGACGGUACCCAAAGAAUAAGCACCGGCUAACUUCGUG